CUUAAUUUGAAAUCAACACGGGGAAACUUACCAGGACCAGAUGUUUUUUAUGACUGACAGGCUUCGGGUCUUUCAGGAUAUUGUUUUUGGUGGUGCAUGGCCGUUGGUGGUGCGUGGGUUGACCUGUCUAGCGUUGAUUCAGCUAACGAGCGAGAUUAUCGCCAAUUAUUUACUUUGCCGAAGUCCUUCGGUUAAAGUUCUAAUUGGGACUCCCUGCGAUUUUAGCAGGUGGAAGAGGGUAGCAAUAACAGGUCCGUGAUGCCCUUUAGAUGCUCUGGGCUGCACGCGUGCUACAAUGUUAGGAUCAAUAGGACUGCGAGCCUGAGAGGGUGCGCUACUCUUAUAAUCCCUAACGUAGUUGGGAUUGACGUUUGUAAUCAGCGUCAUGAACCAGGAAUCCCUUGUAAAUGUGUGUCAACAACGCACGUUGAAUACGUCCCUGCCCUUUGUACACACCGCCCGUCGCUCCUACCGAUUGGAUGACUCGGUGAAAUCACCGGAUGCUUACGAGCAGAAAGUGAUUAAAUCACGUUAUCUAGAGGAAGGAGAAGUCGUAACAAGGUAACGGUAGGUGAACCUGCCGUUGGAUCAGUU
rnacentral:ncRNA from 1 species